CCUACGGGUGGCAGCAGUGAGGAAUAUUGGUCAAUGGGCGCUAGCCUGAACCAGCCAAGUAGCGUGAAGGAUUACUGCCCUGUGGGUUGUAAACUUCUUUUAUAUGGGAAUAAAGUGCAGUAUGUAUACUGCUUUGCAUGUACCUUAUGAAUAAGGAUCGGCUAACUCCGUUCCAGCAGCCGCGGUAAUAACGAGGAUCCGAGCGUUAUCCGGGUUUAUUGGGUUUAAAGGGAGCGUAGGCGGGUCGUUAAGUCAGUUGUGAAAGUUUGCGGCUCAACCGUAAGAUUGCAGUUGAUACUGGCAGCCUUGAGUACAGUAGAGGUAGGCGGAAUUCGUGGUGUAGCGGUGAAAUGCAUAGAUAUCACGAAGAACUCCGAUUGCGAAGGCAGCAUGCUGGACUGUAACUGACGCUGAUGCUCGAAAGUGUGGGUAUCAAACAGGAUUAGAUACCCUGGUAGUC
rnacentral:rRNA from 1 species